UAAUACGGAGGGUGCAAACGUUGUUCGGAAUUACUGGGCGUAAAGCGCAUGUAGGCGGAUAUGUAGGUCAGAUGUGAAAGCCCUUGGCUCAACCAAGGAAGUGCAUCUGAAACCCCAUAUCUUGAGUAUGACAGAGGGAAGUGGAAUUUCCAGUGUAGAGGUGAAAUUCAUAGAUAUUGGAAAGAACACCGGUGGCGAAGGCGGCUUUCUGGGUCAUUACUGACGCUGAGAUGCGAAAGCGUGGGGAGCAAACAGGAUUAGAUACCCUGGUAGUCCACGCCGUAAACGAUGUCAACUAGCCGUUGCGGGUAUCGACCCCUGCAGUGGCGAAGCUAACGCGAUAAGUUGACCGCCUGGGGAGUACGGUCGCAAGAUUA
rnacentral:rRNA from 1 species